CAGCAGGUUCAAGGACUAAGAUACCAAAGCCUAUAGCUCGUGCUGUCGUGCAAGGAAAAUUCUAGCGAUCACAUAAUCGAUGGCGUACACACCUGCGGAAGUGAGAAGCAGUCUUUAUCCAGGUGUGUCAUCGAUGAACAUGUCCCUUACUAUUGAAAUUUGAGAGUAUAAGUAGGUAAAUGUUUGAGCAUCCAUGCCAAGUCGGCUCAAACAAGAGCUAAAAGGUUUAUAAAUUGUGAGUAAUGUCAUCACUAUAUAGAAUUAUCAUAGUUAGAUAGUAGUUUAUUAGUUAAGACGGGGUGGAUCAAUUCAGAUCACGCCGCUGCAUUUGUGGACAUUGGGUAUCAUAAAGAAAUAUGCUUGAGUACCCAGCUCUCAAAGGCGCUCAUAGAGGUGGUUUUGCGUGCGUGUGUUCGUAAAGGCAAGUGUGCGUGCGUUGUGAGCAUUUGGAAGCGGAUUAUUGGGGGUCUUAGGUGCCACCUGAUUGUUUAUUAUGCUGCCGCCACCCAUCAUCCUGGUCCA